GAUGAACGCUGGCGGCGUGCCUAAUACAUGCAAGUCGAGCGUACGGUCGAGAAGCUUGCUUCUCUGAUGUUAGCGGCGGACGGGUGAGUAACACGUUGAUAACCUACCUAUCAGACUGGGAUAACUUCGGGAAACCUGAGCUAAUACCUGAUAAUAUUUUGAACCGCAUGGUUCAAAAGUGAAAGACGGUCUUUCUGUCUCUUAUAGCUGCAUCCGCGCUGCAUUAGCUAGUUGGUAAGGUAACGGCUUACUAUGGCGACGAUGCAUAGCCGACGUGGGAGGGUGAUCGGGGACUUUGGUACGGAGUACCGGUCCUGAGCCCUACGGGAGGCAGCAGUAAGGAACAUAGCGCAAUGGGCGAAAGCGUGACGAGGCAACGAGGCGUGAGGGACGAAGGUCUUGGGAGCUUAAAGCGCUUUUAUUAGGGAAGAAAAGGUUUAGAAGUAACAGUGCACAUAAUGACGGUACCUAAUCAGAAAGACACGGCUAACUACGUG
rnacentral:rRNA from 1 species